CCUACGGGGGGCAGCAGUGGGGAAUAUUGGACAAUGGGGGCAACCCUGAUCCAGCCAUGCCGCGUGUGUGAAGAAGGCCCUCGGGUUGUAAAGCACUUUCAGUGAGGAAGAACGCCUGGUGGUUAAUACCCAUCAGGAAAGACAUCACUCACAGAAGAAGCACCGGCUAACUCCGUGCCAGCAGCCGCGGUAAUACGGAGGGUGCGAGCGUUAAUCGGAAUUACUGGGCGUAAAGCGCGCGUAGGUGGCUUAAUAAGCCGGUUGUGAAAGCCCCGGGCUCAACCUGGGAACGGCAUCCGGAACUGUCAAGCUAGAGUGCAGGAGAGGAAGGUAGAAUUCCCGGUGUAGCGGUGAAAUGCGUAGAGAUCGGGAGGAAUACCAGUGGCGAAGGCGGCCUUCUGGACUGACACUGACACUGAGGUGCGAAAGCGUGGGUAGCAAACAGGAUUAGAUACCCUUGUAGUC
rnacentral:rRNA from 1 species